ACUGCAGAGCAAAGACGUUGCUAUGCACUCUUAAAAGCUUUUCAGGAGGAAUGUGCAAAGAACGUGAAACUUCGGACCCAAACUUCAACGUGAACAGAUUUUAACCAUUACCCAUGCUUGUGUUGUGUAAGCCUUCAUUCAAUUUGGUCCUUGUUAGAGCGAGCUUUUGUGCAGAGUUCAUUAGAGGACUUCAAAAUAGUGUUGAUCAACUUAAAACGUGUUGCCCUGCCCCGUUCCAACUUCAAAGCCAGUAUGUGAAAAUAUUAGCCCUCCUUAAUGAUUUCUGAUAUGUAAUUACCCAACUUUUCCAGGGAUAGAGCAAUUGUAUGAAAAUCUAACGGGAUAGAGCCUUUCGGAUAGGAACAAACACAUAUCGAUGCAUGUGUUUUUUAAAAAAUAUUGCGGAGUAAUUGAAGAUCCCUUCGGGAACGGAUCAA